GAUGAUUAUGAUAGAGUAUAGUACCAUAGUGAGACCUAGACCUUAGUACCUGAGUGAUGAGACUAGCUAGCCGGCUCUCGAUCAUUGGCACCUGUACCCUGGAUCUACUACUAUCUCUGCUACCCGAUACCCAGCGCUAGAUCUCUCUGGACUCGGGAUCGAGCUUUAUCAGUAUUAAAAGCAACGAUAUGUCAUUCACUCUGAAUGGUGUGUAUACUAAAACGUACGAAGCUCGGAACAAAUGGCGAAACAUCCUUCUGGCUCUGAAAGUGGACCAUGCUACCAUUGACAGCAUUGGUGCGAAAUGGCGAGACAAUCCUGACGACUGCUAUCGUGAAGGACUGGGCGUGUGGCUGAGAGGUGAGGAGAAAAGCUGGAAAGAUGUGGUGGAGGCUUUGUCCAGCCAUACCGUUGGUUACAGUGGCAUUGCCCGGGCCUUAGAGGAAAGCUACGUACACCAAGAGGAGAAGAGGGGUGGGACAGGAGAUCAAACAACAGCAUCAAAUGUUGUCCAACAUGACUCACCCCAUGACAGCUCUACACCUGUAUCCAGUUCUACAAGUGAGGAAAGUGGAAUGGAUGUAGGUCAAACCACACCCAAUCCUUUACUAACAGCCACUGAGGCCGUUGAGGAGAGUGGAGGUCAAGCCAAAGUUAUUGCAGCUUUAGCGACCGCGGAUGGAGAUCAACUUUAUUGCCAAAUCCCGAAGCAACAAUUCCAACCAGUGUCUACUGUUAGUGCCACUGACGCCACCCAGAGUAGUCAUGACGAGAGUGGUAACGAAAAUCAGGACGAACCUUUAGCUUCAGCACGUCCAAGACGUCCAAGCAGUGCUUUUGACAAACAGGUUAACUCGGACAUUGAAGGUGUCGUGACAAGAAUAAGUCCACUGAUUAGUGAUGUAAACACAGAGAGGUUGCAAUUAGUUGCUGAAAGUAUUCUGGAUGAAAUUCUCGAUGGCAAGAACGCUCUUGAGAUUUAUCUAAAAAUUUCGAAUAAGUAUGAGUCUCGUGGACAAGCAAGUUUUGCAGCAACUCUCUUUCGGGAAGCCCUUAUAUAUGCAACCAAUACGAAAGAAGUGAAAACCCGUUUCAGUCACCUCAACGACCUUUGUGACCCUGAAUGCCUAACGAAACAGAUUGCGUUACUAGAGAUGUUGAAAUCACGGCAAAGUCUUUUGGAGUUUGGGGACAAUGAAUUAGGUGGAAUGCAACUAAACGCUUUCGUUGAAGAGUUUAAAGACACUGAAUUGGGUACGUCAAGAGACAACAUUACAACACCGACAAAAUUGUUCAAGUGCUUGCUUCGUAAGAACGUGCUACCAUCACAGUCACCUUCAGAAUGGAUUACAAUAUUGAAGACAAAGCUGUCUAAUGCAAAAACAGAAACCUCUCCUACAGAAACCUCUCCUACACAGGGUCUUGGGAUAGAAGAGCACUAUGCUGGAGAUGGCGCUGGAGCAAAAGUCAUGAACCCACUCAAAUGUGAAGAUGUUGAUAGUACGUCACAAGACAAAUUACUGAGUGAUGAAGGUCCGUCACAAGACAAAUUACCGAGUCAUGAAGAGGGAGAGACAGUGAAGGAGCAGCUUUUACCAAAAACGUGGAAAAUUGGAUUGGCAGUAGUAAUAGGUGUUCUGCUGGCAGCCAUCUUUGUAUCCCUACUCGCUUUCAGCUCUACAUCUGGCCUAUCUAGUCAAGGGUCCCACUUUGAAAACACAAGCCUCUGUAGAAACACGACUAUAUUGGUAUCAAAACGUCUCAACACUCAAUACUACGAGAGAAUCAUGUUUACACUCAAGCACGAUAUUGCAGAAUUUCCAAACAUAACAACAUGUGUGUUUGACUGCACCUAUUCUGAACCACAGCUUUUUACUGCAUUUGGGACCCACAACUUAACAAGUACCCACUCUGCUGUUUUUGAUCCCCUCCCAACUCGUAGAUACGCUCACAUUCGUGAGAGUCAUAAUGUUCCAGAGCUAAUAUACAUGUUGGAAGGUUCUACACUUCUGUUUUCUCUUAAUAAUGAUAUUCCAGUGCCUCUACAACUUCACAUACUAACAUCGGCUGAGCAGUGUAGAGACUUUUACGCUGGGAAAAUAAACUUGAGUGCUAGAAAUUUCUCACUAAAUGAGGCCAAUAACUAUACUGCUAAUUUCACUGUACUCCCUGGUGAGCCCCCCUCAUACUACUGUGGUGUAUGGGUGAUCGAUUCGAAUGUUACAUUUAAUUUCGCUGUUGAAGCAUCUGUUGUAGCAUACAACGUAAACUUUUACCAGCAGAGAGGAUUUUGUCAACCAAUAUCGACACCAUCAUGCACCUUAACCUUUCCUUUAUCUAUUUUAGAGAGAUAUACAUGUGUUCUGCUUUCUCAGCUUAACCCUUCAGCAACUGUAUAUAGUGCAAAAGUAGACGUUCAAACAACUUUUCCAAACCCAAUUUUCAGUCUGUUUAUUUCUCUUUGUGCUGUAGUUUUUACAAUUAUCAUUGUUUUAGGUUUAAGUUGUGUUGUUCGGAAAGUUUGUAAAAGAAACCUUCCGACUCGACAAUCAUGUAGAUUUAAGUAGCUUAAUAUUUUUUUUUAAUUUUUAAUAAUAAUUAUGCUUGAUACGCUAAUUAUUUUAUUGUCCAGCAUGCAAUUAAUGAGAUGACGUAAUUUGUAUGCGUUGGGUAAAAGAAGGGGAAAUCCCAGGUAAUUUGUUAAUAAGGGAAAGUCCCAGGUAAUUUCUUAGCAAUCUGCAGCGCACACUAUACAUGUGUAUAGUGUGCGCUUUCUUUUAUGUACGUGUGAACAUAAAAGAAAGGCGCACAGCUUCAAUUCAGAACGAAUAAUUAUACAGUUGUUAACACUUAACGUGCCAAGAAACAAAUUUGACCAGAAACGAUGACCAGCUCUCCAGAAAUUCUAGCCAUUGAUGGAAACCAUGUGGACUCUCCGUACCAAAUACUGACCAUCUCCAUCUCAAUCCCCUCAACUCUGCCUCCAGUUACAUGUAGCUCAAUGAAGGAAGCUGAAGAAGAGUUGGACCUCUUCACUGCAGACAAACUAUAUGAUCUUGUGAAAUGCAUGCAGAAAGUUGUCCAAGAUUUUGAGGUAAAUGAUGCUCCUCACUACUAUGGUUGGAGGGUGGCUGUGAAGGCUAUUAGUACAGCAGAGUUUCAUGCUGGGUAUGCUGAUGACUGUAUAAAACCAAUCGUUGAGCUCACUAGCUUGAGCUGUAAUCCUCCUGCUGACCAAAUAAUGGAUACUGUGACUCAAAAGAAGUAUUUUCCAAAGUUGAUCGAAUGUCUGCUUGGAGGUCUCAGUUUAUGUUGGCAAGACAAAGUCAAUGUGACCUUUGCUGGUUACAGCAAACAAGUUAUUGGCUUUUCUAAGAGCCCAAGUGUAUCGAGAACUAAUUCACUCUUUGCCUUCUGGCAACAACAGUCUUUAACCAUGAAUCAUAAUUAUGAAACAUAAAGUUUUAAGUUCUAUAGCCUUUUUUCUAUAAAGUUAUAUAAUUAUAUACAAUGUGUAAUUUUCCAAAUAUGUAAAUGGAGAAGUGA